CGCCCAGCACCCAGGAGGGCAGCGCGUAGACCGUGGCCUGGAAGGGGACGCAGAAGAGCAGGUCAGUUUUGCCCUACGUUUCUCAUGCGAGUGGCACAAACACAAGCAGCGACGAGACGUGUUUAGGAGGUGGAAAGAGCGCGCCUGGUGUUGCAUCCCUCUUGUGAACCGUGGCUACACCAGAAGCUGAGCGAGCUAGUGCCUUGACAGGAUGCGUCUGUAUUCACUUCCAAGAUGACCCCGUGUUUGCAGCGCUCCCCAAAUAAUGACUGAGUGUCCCUUAUGUGCCAGACGCAGCCAGGUCACACAAAGCUGAGCGGGGUGCACCGUAUCCUGCGGAUGUGAG